rnacentral:lncRNA from 1 species
GACUAGGACAUAUGAAAUCGACAUCAAGACACAUUAAUUGGAUGUAAUGAGAUGAACACAUUUACGCUAUGUAAUAACUAAGACAUAUUAAAGACAUGCAUUAAAAUAGAACAUAUUUAACACACAUAGUUAAAAUGUCCAAAUUUUAACAAAUUAAAUACUAACUCAUUAAUUUAUUCCAGCAGCUAAAUGAAUGCAUAAACUAAAAAUAAUAUUAAUAGCAUCGAGCUCAACAAGCUAAGAUUGAGCUAAAUUGAGCUUAAGGAACUGAAACAUGAGCUGAUUCAAGCUCAAUAAACUAGGAUUGAGUUGAACAGCUAGAAAAUGAUUGCAACGCCCGCUUGGAAAACUUGACCAAGAUCGUUCGCAGGGCCUGAUCGUAUCAUUUCCCUCUUCUUCAAAGUGACUUGUCCUCAAGUCAAGUCGUUGGUUUACUUGAAAGCGUUCGCGCAACUUGUCUUGGUUGAAAGGGGCGAAUGGCAAAUGAGUAACCUGAAAUUUAUAGCCAUGCGUUAACAAAAAGCAAUGCAAACAAACUUGUAGUCCAAGGAUAAUCAAAACAAAACAAGUGCAACGCAUGCGAAUGGACAGAUGCAAAAUACCACGUUUGCAAUCAUGCCAACAAAAUAUCUUACUUGUGAAUGUCUAUUCAAACGAUAUAGACAAAAACAGAUAUGUUGUAAGGCAUUCGAAAAUCCCAAUUGGUUUCCACCAAUCAUAGCCUAGAUGCGAGUAAUGAGUCAAAAGAUGUACGUAGGCAUCAGAAAUAGGCAAACGAAAAGAAUUAGAAGAUUCAUGGUCUUGCUUAGUUGGGCAUUGUAAUGACUAUUUAAUCGCAUGCUUUCCAACAAAAUCACGAUGAUCAAAAACAAGAAUCUUUUUAUCAACCACCAAAACAGAUAGAUCAUCAUCAACCAAAUAGAACAAUUAAACACGCCACGAUCUAACUGUUUUACAAAAGCUAAAUCAUCAACACGAUUUUUAACACCACCCAAGGAGAAUAGAAAUGUUUCAAGACUUUCAAGUGUCUUACCUUUAUGAGCAGGAAAAUAAAGAUCGUUUUUACCUCGCUCGAUCAGCACAAACCAUCGCUCUUUGGGGGUAUAGAGAAGUCAAAACUUCGUGGUUGAGUUAACCUUUUCGGAAUGACACGCAAACUUCAUGUACAACCACAGAAAUGGCGUAUGGAACAAAUUUAAAUUGAAAUCAAAUUUGUCAAUCCUCGUUUCGUUAUUUAAAAACCAAGUAUCAAACAAAUAGAAGUUAUUCGCACAAACUUUAAGAUGCUGGUUUUUCCCGCAAAACGAAUCAAAACAUAUUCUGGGUAUAAAAACAUGAGUUUGAUUACUUAUGCCAAAGUGUAGCAAAGGGUUCAGUAAACUGAACAUGUCAAACCGGAAGGAUU